GAUGAACGCUGGCGGCGUGCUUAACACAUGCAAGUCGAACGGUGAACGAGGGAGCUUGCUCCCUCCGGAUCAGUGGCGAACGGGUGAGUAACACGUGAGCAAUCUGCCCUGGACUCUGGGAUAAGCGUUGGAAACGACGUCUAAUACCGGAUACGAGGCGUGGGGGCAUCCCCAACGCCUGGAAAGAAUUUCGGUCCAGGAUGAGCUCGCGGCCUAUCAGGUAGUUGGUGAGGUAAUGGCUCACCAAGCCUACGACGGGUAGCCGGCCUGAGAGGGUGACCGGCCACACUGGGACUGAGACACGGCCCAGACUCCUACGGGAGGCAGCAGUGGGGAAUAUUGCACAAUGGGCGAAAGCCUGAUGCAGCAACGCCGCGUGAGGGACGACGGCCUUCGGGUUGUAAACCUCUUUUAGCAGGGAAGAAGCGAAUGUGACGGUACCUGCAGAAAAAGCACCGGCUAACUACGUGCCAGCAGCCGCCGUAACAC
rnacentral:rRNA from 1 species